UCAGAUUCGUAAAUGGUCUUCUUGGUUUGCUCAAGUGGAGCCUGGUGUUCUUAUUACUUCUGUUUCCAUGAUUCAUAGUGGUAAUGAUCUCAAGCGCAUUCGCUUUAGGUAUAAUUUCGAUUUUGAUUUUGGAUUUUUGUUGUUGUCUUUGGUUUUGAUCUGAUAUUGUUUUUUUACGGGUUAUGCUUUGUGGUUGUUGACAUUUUUUUUGUAUCUCUGGAAUUCUCUAAAUAUUUGUCUUUUCUAUUAAACUGUUCUGACAUUUUACAUUGGUGUGUUCAGGUGGAAUGAAGGUGAAAGCUGACAGGGAUGAAUCUUCCCCGUAUGCUGCUAUGCUUGCAGCUCAAGAUGUUUCUCAACGAUGCAAGGAACUUGGAAUUACUGCUCUCCACAUUAAGCUUCGUGCUACUUGAGGAAACAAAACCAAGACUCCUGGACCUGUUGCUCAGUCUGCUUUGAGAGCCCUUGCUCGUUCAGGCAUGAAAAUUUGCCGUAUUGAGGACGUGACUCCCAUCCCAACAGACAGUACGUACAUAAAGGGAGGAAGAAGGGGAAGGAGGCUGUGAAUUAUCUUGGUCAAAUACUGGUCAUAUUGUCUUAUUUCUAUGGCUUGAAUAGACUAGUCCGCUGUUAAAGCCUUUCCUUUUCAUUUUUGAAGUCGAACUUGUUGUAGUUUCGAAUUGCCCUUUCAUCAGACAAGUUUCUACUCUCAAGAUUGCAGUGUGGUUGCUAGAAUGCUAGUUCUUGUUUGCUUGCUUACAAGAUUUAUUUUGUAUGUUAGGUGGAAUCUAAAAGAUAACUAGAAAGACUCUAGUUGAAGUUCC